rnacentral:rRNA from 1 species
UGCGUAGGCGGUCUUCCAAGCCAGAAGUGAAAGGCUACGGCUCAACCGUAGUAAGCUUUUGGAACUGUAAGACUUGAGUGCAGGAGAGGAGAGUGGAAUUCCUAGUGUAGCGGUGAAAUGCGUAGAUAUUAGGAGGAACACCAGUAGCGAAGGCGGCUCUCUGGACUGUAACUGACGCUGAGGCCCGAAAGUGUGGGUAGCAAACA